rnacentral:sRNA from 1 species
GAUGCGAGAAGCACGCAUAAUCCGUGUUCGUUUUUUCGUGGUUUUCGGUACAUUUUAAUAUUAUUCGCUGUAAUAUACUCGAAUUUUAUUUCGGCAAAACAAAAUGUUUUUGUAGCAUUUUAAUGAAAUUAAACAAAAGCCAAGUGCAUCCCAUCAACAAUAAUGAUAAGGGAAAAUUUGAUUGUGUCUCGAAAGUGUGAAAGUGUUAGUGUGUAGUGGGGCUCCAAAUGCAGCAAUAGCGGCAGCAGCAGCAUAAAAAAGCAAUUGUUUUAUAUUUUUGCAAAUGUACUUUGUUUUGGUUUUUUCAACAACAACAAUUGAAAAUCUCAAUUAAAUAGAUACAAAAUUUUAAAAUAGGGCCAGAAAUGUGCAAUCUUUCUGAAUAUGAAAAUGAAAAAAAUUUUAAAUACAUAGUAGCUUGUAAAUACUAAUGUCGUCGUGGAGUAUUUAUUGAUUGAAGUUAAUGCCAGCAAACAAAAUAUACACAACAUUUCAUUGACAAAGAAAACCAAAGCACUUAACCAAAAGCUAAAUUGUAAAAAUAAUAGUAAAGUGAAAAAACAAAUGUUUUCCUUCUCUCGGCAGUAAUGUAUUUGAUGCUAAAAUAUAAACCUAAAAGCAUCCUUCAAAAAUUUAAAUGCCCCUCCUUUUUCAGGGGCUAGUGGGAGCUCCAUCUGCAACAUAAAAAACCUAUUACAUACAAAUCAAAGGCCAUAAAAGAAAACUGUUUUGCUGCCUAAUAAAGUGUUGGAGGUGGUGUAGUGUAUCCGCAAUUUGGAGAGCAACGAGUGAGAGAGUGCAUGUGUAUGGCUCCAACAAUGGUGCCAAAGUGAGAAUAAAGAAAUAUUUACAUACAGUUGUCAAAUCUAGCUUAUUGACAAAUUGCAGACAAUUAAUAAAGAAAAUUGAAGUGAAUUUGUGAAUUAAAAAUAAUUUUGUGAAUUUAAAGAAGAAAAUUUUUAAUGGAUUAACUAUAUCACUACUUUUGCCAGGACUUGGUUAUCUAUUCUAUGUCAAAGCCUAAAUUUCUUGUGCAUGAAGAACAUGCCAUAUGGCUGUUUCUCUCUCAGUCAUUUUUUAUUAUCUCUCGCGCUAAGCUCCAUGCUACUGUAAGGAUUUUCUUCGGUUUGGUGGUGAACACCCUUCCCACACGGUUUGGCCCUUUUACCACCAUCAAAGUUAUCGUUUUUUCUGCUGUAAGCCUCUCUCUCUCUCUCUCUCUGUUGGCCUCCACAAAUGUGUUAACUUGGUAUUUGUUCUAUCUCCCCCGGGUUUUGUGUUUGUUCGUAGGUUCGUUUGGAUUAAUAACACCAAAAUUUGUUUACCUUUGUUUUUCGUCAGGCUACUGCUUCUGCUGCCGCAGAUAUUUAGGUGUGGUAUAACCAAAAUAAACAUUGCUGCUGUA